GUUAGGAAUCUUCCACAAUGGGGGCAACCCUGAUGGAGCAACACCGCGUGCUGGAUGAAGGCCUUCGGGUCGUAAACAGCUUUUGUAUACGAAGAAUAUGACGGUAAUAUACGAAUAAGGGUCGGCUAACUACGUGCCAGCAGCCGCGGUCAUACGUAGGACCCAAGCGUUAUCCGGAGUGACUGGGCGUAAAGAGUUGCGUAGGCGGCUUAUUAAGCGAGUAGUGAAAUCUGGUGGCUCAACCAUCAACACAUUGCUCGAACUGAUAGGCUUGAGAAUGGUAGAGGUAGUUGGAAUUUCUUGUGUAGGAGUGAAAUCCGUAGAUAUAAGAAGGAACACCAAUGGCGUAGGCAGACUACUGGACCAUUUCUGACGCUGAGGCACGAAAGCGUGGGGAGCGAACCGGAUUAGAAAUCCGGGUAGUCC
rnacentral:rRNA from 1 species